GAAAAAUUAUGGAAAUUUCAAGGAAUCAAGCAAGAUAAGGUGGUGAGCUAUUUGAUAAGGAUAAAGAGAUUACACCAAAGACCGGGACUAAGAGUAUUUCUACUCCUGAUACUGGAGAUGCGGAAGCUGAUGCUAAGCCUUGCGGGGUUCCGAUCGGUAUUUCGGGUAACGAGUGCCAUCGAGAUGUCGCGGCGGUUGUCACGGGCCUGAUGGGAGUUCCGGGUCAUGACAGUAUACAAGGAAGCUUUUGACUCAUUCUGAAGUAGGAUAAAACACAUUUUUAAACUUAAACCCUAGAGUACAGCUCCAAGAUCUUUAUUUCUCUUUUGCACUCAAAUCUUAUUCUUUUUUCAAGCAUUCAAAGCCAUCUAUUGUUGUUCACUGAGUUGAUAUUUUGUACCCUUUUUAUUGAAAGCUUCAACACUAGCUCAUCAGCCAUUGAGAAGCAUUUAUUACUAUUCUUUUGUACACGCUUUUGUAAAGGUUCUAAUUUAGCCUUGAAAAGUUAGUAAGGGUUUUUAGUUGAGCCCACUAAAAACCAUUGUGAGGGUUAUUGCUUGAUCCCAUGAAUAAGCAUUUGUAAAGGUUUAUGCUUCAUCCUAUUUUAAAAAGCAAAUUCCUUUAAUGGAUUUGAAACUCCUUAGGCACCAAGGGAGAGGAUGUAGGU